UACGGAGGGGGCUAGCGUUGUUCGGAAUUACUGGGCGUAAAGCGCACGUAGGCGGCUUUGUAAGUUAGAGGUGAAAGCCCGGGGCUCAACUCCGGAAUUGCCUUUAAGACUGCAUCGCUAGAAUUGUGGAGAGGUGAGUGGAAUUCCGAGUGUAGAGGUGAAAUUCGUAGAUAUUCGCAAGAACACCAGUGGCGAAGGCGGCUCACUGGCCCGAUACUGACGCUGAGGCACGAAAGCGUGGGGAGCAAACAGGG
rnacentral:rRNA from 1 species